rnacentral:misc_RNA from 1 species
GAGCGCAAUAACAUCUUCAUUACAAACUUCAAGUGUCAGUUGUGCAACUUGAUCUGGAUUUGGCUCAACUUCUCCAUCUCCAGCGAGCAUAACUUUCAUUGCCACAAUAUUUUUCUCAACUUCUUCCAUAGCCUUCUCGAGGGCUUUAACUUCAGCAACAGUUAUGGAAUCAAGGGCAUUAAAACUAUCUUUGACAGUUCUAGCGAGUUCUGAUGGAGUUUUAGGCCUUGAAGCCUUGAAGAAAGAGAAAGACAUUGUCAACCAAUUUCGAUCAAACAACAAUGCCCACUUUGGAUUUGAUCAAAAACCACAACCAAAACCAAAACCCUCUCUCUCUUUCAC